rnacentral:snRNA from 1 species
AUACUUACCCGGCAGGGGAGAAACCAUGAUCACGCAGGUGGUUUUCCCAGGGUGAGGCUUGUCCAUUGCUCUCCGGAUAUGCUGACACCUGAAAUUUCCCCAAAUGUGGGAAACGUGACCGCAUAAUUUGUGUUAGCGAGGACUGUGUUCACAUUCUAAA